GACCUGCAGGGAUCAUGAGGAUUUCGAGAAACAUCAUCCUCCCUUGGAGCUGAGCUUUUGCUCUGCUGCAGCCUCUGAGACUACUUUACCAGUGGGGAUACCAAUGCAGAGAGCAUUUCAUGUUUGUCCAGCAAGUGCAUGAAAUCACAGAACCUGGAUGAAGAUCCCAGACCUCUCCAUCACUCCAGCCACAAGCAGAGCUACAUCUAACAUUGAAGAGAUGUGUGGAACUCACUUCAAUUAGCUGCAUUGCCAAAAGCACAAAUGUUCUCCCCUAAAACAAGUAUGAAUGAUAUGAUAGCCAAAAAAUCUAUGACAUUCUCAUUAAGCUAAUUAAUAUGACUGCUUCUUGAAUCUACCCACUUCUGCACAUUUCUGAAGGAAAAGCAGUCUCAGGUAUCUGGGGAUAUAAACAGAUGUCCUUUGCUAAAUCAGAGAGUUCCACCUCCCAGUAGUGUAUGUGCUUGCCCUGCCCUGUGAACUGUACAUUAAUUGGUUGAUACAGGACAGGUGCAUCCAUAUUUUUAAGAAAUAUAGUGAUUUAUGGUCAGAUUUCAGACUUUAUGUUCCAAGACCAAAUUAAUAUACUUUUUAAGGCAUCACAGGAGUUAUAAAGUUGAUAAAUUUGUAUUAGCAAUACAGUUGAAAAGACUUUUCUGAUGCAUUGUUAGCCUUAAGGCGCAUACAACAAAGAUGUUUAUACAUGACCUACAUAUACAAUAAAAAGCUCUAGAAAAAUAUUUUCCUCUCAGACUUACUUACACAGAGUGUCAUAUUGCAAUUUUCAGUUAAAUUUAAACUACAUUUAAAAUUAAAGCAGUGAUCUCCAGUGACACAUCACCAAGACAGCACAGCCUGAGGCAGGAGUAGCUCCAAUAAAUUUGGCCUUUCGGGGGAAUUCCACCAGAGGACAUUUCCAGGAGAAUGUGCUGUGUUUGAUUGCACUGUGGUUGCACACCUCUGACUUCCAGCAAGCAACAGUUUAGCAGCAAUUUUAGAAUAGAUGGGCACAGUGGCUAUGUCUGAGCUUUGCAAGCCGAAUUCUGCCUGGAAAAAAGAAGCUGCCUUAUAUUGAUGUAUAUAUCAGAAUUCAGCAAUGCACACCUAUGAAGUUUAAUUCUUUUAAAUUUGUUUAUUCUUUAAAAAUUUUGGUUUUAUUAAUACUGAUUCAUUUUAGAAGAAAGGCAGGUGUAGAACAUUAGGUUCCAAAAACCAAAUUUUAAUUUCAGGAGGGAUGCAUGACUGUCUGGUGUUUGGAACAGACACAUGAGUCAAAGGAGCACCCUCCUGCCACGCCAGCCCUCCCACAGACUCCCUGUAAUGCCUUUACAGCACAUUUUACUUGCUCUGACAACUGACCUGCAUUAGAGAAGUGCUUAGAGAUCUUCAAAUGAAGAAAUGUUCAUAACUAAAAAGCAUUUACUGUAAUGAAGCCCCUUAAAAGAGGCUCUGCAUGCCACAGCUGAUCUCUAGUGUAGAUGUAAUCGCACUGAAUGUUGUGGAGUGUCUUUUCAUUCCUCUUCUGCAUACAUUAUGUAUAAUUUUCUGAGUAAAACAAACAUCUGUGCACAGUUGUGGAUAUGAGAUUUUAUGCUAGUUAUGGUGGAUGACCUUCAGCUUUUGUUUUGCCCAGGAUUCUUACAAAUAUAAACAAAGUUACAAUCCAGCCUCCCACUUUGACCUUUUAAAUUUUACUUUUAAAAAUAGAGGUUAUCAUUUAUGCUGCAAAUUAUGCCUUUAUCUCUUAUAAUCCCAUAAGUCAGAUAUCACAGUCCCACUUCAAUUAUGCUAAACUCUUAUGUUAAUUUUAAAUCAUGUAACUUAAUUCCUGGCAAAGCAGGCUGGUGAUUUUCAAAAUGUGGUUAAUGAAGCAAAGUACAAUCUAGAUUCUGCUACUGAGAUAAUCUGAAUCCCUUAGGUCGCUGAACAUGACUAUGGAGAGGGUCUUCUUUACAAAAGUCUGGGUUAGAUUUUCAAAAAAUGAAUUUUUAAGUGCAGUUAGGGGCUAUGAAAUUUGAAGUUGAAUGUACAAAGAAGUUGAAUUACUUUCACUAGAGCCAUAGAACAACAGUGCAGCUAAAACAAUUACACUUCUGUGCACAUACAUGCUUUAAAAGCCUUGACUAGUGUCCUCCCCUGUUAAAUCAUAAAUGCAAACCAUACCAGAUUUUCAAGAUGACAGUCUGGGGACCUGUCCCCAGACAUCCAUGUCCAUGUCCAUGGAUGUAUGCAAAUCAAUGUCAUUUUCCCUAUCAUUUGCAGAAACCAAACAUUUGCUAAUAAUUUCUUUCAACUCCCUCCUUGACUCAAACAGUAGCUUUAUCUAAGACCUGCUAGUAGAUGAAAUCUUAUGAGACUGUGUAGCUUUUUCAAUGCAAUUAAAGCUGCCCCCGAAACCUCUGUCAUUCUCUGAUCAGAUAGGCAGAAAGUUUGCCACUAAAAUGAACUCAGUGUGAAGCUUAAGUUCUUCAGAGUCUUUGUAAUUUACUACUAAUAAUUUAUUUUUCUGAA